GUUUCAGUUAUGCUUGUGUGCUCCUUCUCUCACCGACAAACAUGCACUGGGUGUUGUUGACAGACUGACACUGAAAAUCUUGGAUGUUAAAUGUAAAGUCUUGAAGCUAAACCUUCAACGACCACAGCAGGAAUCUGAAAAGUCAUGGAAAUGGAAAAAGACGGAAUUUUCCUUUUUCAAAUUUUUGUGGAAUCACUUCCACUGAAGGACAGCAGGGGACUUCUCAACAAUACAGGUGCUACCAUGGCCAGAGGCCGUGUCUUCUCCGGUGCAGGAUACCGGGUUGAAUGGAGAAGUGGAUGACGGUGUAACUCAGCUCUCUGUGCAGUGUGUCACCGACCCUACCGGACUGAAUGGAAGAGUAGUGUAUGAUGGCGAGGAAUACAGCCUCCGUCCUGUCCAGCAUGUCACCAACCCUUCUGAAUUAGUCGAAGUCAUUGUUGAUGUAGGAGAUCACAACCUCCGUCCUGU